GCGUCCAAAAAUCAUUAUAAACCAGUACCGGGAUCGUGGCUGAGCUGUUGAGCUGCAGUGUUCAGGAUAAAGGAGAAGGUUCGGGUUCAGAGAGUAAAUCCAAAUAGAGACCAACAUGAAGGCCGUGACAGUACUUUUGCUCUUGACAACUGUUAUUGCCGUGCAUGUGGGCAGUGCUGACGCUGGGGCAUGCAAUAGCUGCUCAUGCCUGAACGUUUCCCGCACUGAGCACUGCGUCCAUGGCUACUGCCGCAUGAGCAGAGGUACUGCCAUCUGCAUCUGCGACAUCGGGUACCAGGGAAAUCGAUGCCAAGACCCAGUCUUCCGCGGGUAAACAACAUGCAUAAUUAUAUCGACAGCGCGGGGGAGAACAAAUAAAUAAAAGAUCGACCCUAUAGUGAUCCAUGCAACAACAGUACUCCACCGCCAACGAGCAUCGUGUGCCGAAGAACCCUAGAAGAACAACUAUCGGUGUCGUCUACUUAAAUAAACUAUUUUGGAAGCUAUAUUCUGUACACUGGGGCACAAGUUAACAAUCACUUAAAAUUUAAUUGACCAUAAUUAUUUCCCUCAAAAUGAACGUGUUUGCAAACAUCACGCACGAAUAAAUGCGUCGUGAUUUUAAAGUUUAGCCAUAGUUGACGGCAUCAUUUCUCAGUAAACGAAAAGUAUAACCAUUGAAUUUGAUUGAAAUAGAAAUGAAGUAAAAUUAAAACUUACUUGUAAACAAAAAAAAAUCAGCUUAUAAGAAGUUGAGUGUUUUUUACGCCAAGCGCGCCUGAAUCGUACACUGAAGGUUUAUUGAAAUUUAGAGACAGGAUUAAUUUAUCAACAUACGGAUAUUUAAAAAGUUGGAAUACAUCAGGUGAUUCGAUUACAAAUCCUGCGUUUGCUUUUCAGCUCUCUAUAAGUGUGUUGUAUGAUAGUAUACAUUACAGGCGUUUGUGUAAAGAAUGAAAGAAUUAUGCGAUUAAUUGCUUAUCACAUGUGUUUUUAAAAGUACUAUAAUGUUUCCUUGAUUUAACUUCAACCUGAUUAAAAGCUUAGCAGCUGAUAUCGUGUGUAGA